CCCUUAGAUGUUCUGGGCCCCACGCGUGCUACACUGAGUGGAUCAGCGGGUCAGGUUGCGCGAAAGUGUUUCCUAAUCUUUAAAUCCGCUCGUGAUGGGGAUUGACGGUUGCAAUUUUCCGUCAUGAACGAGGAAUACCUUGUAAGCGCGGGUCAUCAUCCCGCGCUGAAUACGUCCCUGCCCUUUGUACACACCGCCCGUCGCUCCUACCGAUUGAGUGGUCCGGUGAGGCUUUGGGAUCUGAGCGGAAAGAGCGUUUCGCUGUUUCUGCCCGGAAAACUCAGUCGAACCUUAUCAUUUAGAGGAAGGAGAAGUCGUAACA
rnacentral:rRNA from 1 species